rnacentral:rRNA from 1 species
AGUGAACGCUGGCGGUAGGCCUAACACAUGCAAGUCGAACGGCAGCACAGUAAGAGCUUGCUCUUACGGGUGGCGAGUGGCGGACGGGUGAGGAAUACAUCGGAAUCUACUUUUUCGUGGGGGAUAACGUAGGGAAACUUACGCUAAUACCGCAUACGACCUACGGGUGAAAGCAGGGGAUCUUCGGACCUUGCGCGAUUGAAUGAGCCGAUGUCGGAUUAGCUAGUUGGCGGGGUAAAGGCCCACCAAGGCGACGCUCCGUAGCUGGUCUGAGAGGCUGAUCAGCCACACUGGAACUGAGACACGGUCCAGACUCCUACGGGAGGCAGCAGUGGGGAAUAUUGGACAAUGGGCGCAAGCCUGAUCCAGCCAUACCGCGUGGGUGAAGAAGGCCUUCGGGUUGUAAAGCCCUUUUGUUGGUGAAGAAAAGCAGCAGGUUAAUACCAGGCUGUUCUGACGGUACCCAAAGAAGAAGCACCGGCUAACUUCGUG